UCGUGCAACAUCGUAAGGAUUCAGUCUGACCACGUUGCAAAACCACGCUACUUUACGGGCCCGCGAAAUAAUCGUGCCAACGACGUUGAGUAGUCAACAUGGUUAUCCGUCUGUCGCUGAUGCUACUCCAUCCUGGAGUUACUUAACGAUGCUGAGGUGUUUAUGGGGUCAUACCGAAACGAGGACUCGAUUGAAUUCAUCGGCUCUCAUUGGAAUGUGGUAAAGGCCGGAAUGAAGGUCGGAUAAAGUCUUUCAACCGGUUAUCACUACCUCCAGCUGGUCGUGUUUCCAGACCAAUGGAGACGAAUAUAUUUAGCCGCCGGCCGGCGGACCAUGAAGAGAGCCUCAGUUUUAAUAAGAAAUUGGUUAAGUGUCCUUGUUUGCUCAUCUUUAAUGCAUGAUCCUUGCAAGUAACACCGUGUCAACGAGUAUACCUUCUACAUGAAAUAAUAACAGGUUUCAAGAACAAUAGUUGCGGUGACAAAGAUGGAACGAUGCUAAAAUAGGAUAAGAACAAAGAUAAACAGUACUGGAAAGGGAAAGAUGAAGACGCAUCGAAUCUGCAAUAUAAAUCAAAUUAUUUAAUUAAAGUCUUAAUUUAAUCGUAAUUUAAAUGGCGUUUAUUAUUUAAUUGUAUACAAUUCCAUUUUCAUUUUCUAACGUCAUAAAAAGGACA